GGGGAAUAUUGGACAAUGGGGGAAACCCUGAUCCAGCAACGCCGCGUGGAUGAUGAAGGUCUUCGGAUUGUAAAGUCCUUUUGGCGGGGACGAUGAUGACGGUACCCGCAGAAUAAGCUCCGGCUAACUUCGUGCCAGCAGCCGCGGUAAUACGAAGGGAGCAAGCGUUGUUCGGAAUUACUGGGCGUAAAGAGCGCGUAGGCGGUUUGAUAAGUUGGGCGUGAAAUCCCCGGGCUUAACCCGGGAACUGCGUUCAAAACUAUCUGACUUGAGUAUGGAAGAGGUUGGUGGAAUUCCCAGUGUAGAGGUGAAAUUCGUAGAUAUUGGGAAGAACACCCGUGGCGAAGGCGGCCAACUGGUCCAUAACUGACGCUGAGGCGCGAAAGCGUGGGGAGCAAAC
rnacentral:rRNA from 1 species